UACGUAGGUGGCAAGCGUUGUCCGGAUUUACUGGGCGUAAAGAGCGCGCAGGCGGUCGAUUUAGUCGCGUGUGAAAGCCCCCGGCUCAACUGGGGAGGGUCACGCGAUACUGAUCGACUCGAAGGCAGGAGAGGGUAGUGGAAUUCCCGGUGUAGUGGUGAAAUGCGUAGAUAUCGGGAGGAACACCAGUGGCGAAGGCGACUACCUGGCCUGUUCUUGACGCUGAGGCGCGAAAGCGUGGGUAGCAAACAGG
rnacentral:rRNA from 1 species